CGUUCACCUCGUGCGCGUUCGGGUGCCGCGGCUUCGAGGGCUCCCGCAACCAGUGGGCGCAGGCCGCGGCCGCCGUGCAGGUCUCGGCGGCGGACGGC
rnacentral:tRNA from 1 species